rfam:Sphingomonas sp. Leaf343 contig_8, whole genome shotgun sequence.
CGGCGGGCCACGCCGCCCCAACGCGGCGCGUGCUCUCUGUGAGGAGAGAUACA